UAGGAUGGCCGGCCACACUGGAACUGAGACACGGUCCAGACUCAAACGGGAGGCAGCAGUGGGGAAUCUUGCGCAAUGGGCGAAAGCCUGACUGCAGUCAACGGCCGCGUGGGGGAUGAAGCUUUUCGGAGUGUAAACCCCUUUCUGACCCGGAAGAAUGCCCGCAAGGGUUUGACGGUACGGGUAUAAGAAGCCCCGGCUAACUAUCUGUGCCAGCAGCCGCGGUAAAACGUAUGGGGCCAGCGUUGCUCGGAAUUACUGGGCGUCAACAGGGGUCCGUAAGGCGGUGUGGCCAAGUCGGAAGUGAAAUCUCUGGGGUUAACCCAGAGGCUGCUCCCGAAAUGCUAUGCUAAGUGUGAGAAG
rnacentral:rRNA from 1 species